rnacentral:snoRNA from 1 species
AAUCAAUGAUGAAACCUAUCCCAAAGCUGAUUGCCUGAAGAAAACAUUGGACUUGUGCU